rnacentral:rRNA from 1 species
AUGUGGAAAGCAUAUGUGCGACGUGUCCAAGUUAACAAAAUUUGUGCAAAUUAUGGCAGAUUCAGCCAGNNNNNNNNNNNNNNNNNNNNGGGGGGGGCUUUAACAGGCUCAAGCCCCCCCUCCAGCAUUGUAAAAUUUGUUUCUACUACUAGUUUUAAGGCCCAGCCCAACUACUUGCAGGCCCAAUCCAACAUAUAUUUGCAUGACCCAGGCAGCCCAGCCCGCCCUCCAUUUUUUUCUAGAUUCGCCACUGAUUCAGCUGUGGUUGGAUUAAGUAAUCUGGUUUACUUAUCUGAGUAUCUUAGUUAUCAUGCUAGAUUCGCCUUGAAAAAAACUGUUUGUUUUGCAAUCUUAUUCAUAACUACUAUAACUUGUGAAUCUUAUAUAGUUAAUGGUAUUCCUCAAAUUUUCCCUUAUUGA